GGCCAGCCUAGGGUUGCAGUUAAAGGAACUGUGCAGUGACCAAAGGGCCUCUGAUUGCUGUCCCCUACCUCCAGACUUACAGUGUCUUCACUGGGUGACUUCAUGAGAAACCUGUUUAAAAUGUGGACUCCCACUCAGGGACCAGCUGAUGGUGCAGCCUAAAACAUUCCCUUUCCUAAGGGUUACCUUAGCAAGGUCCUUUUCGAAUCCCAAGGGAAUUGACAUGAGUGGGAGAAUGCCAACUGGCAGCUGGGUUGAUAUUUUACAUAGGAACAAAUGAUGUGUUACCACCCAAUCUAUUCAGAUAGACAGGAUAUGAACACGGUCACAGAAUGAACACUAUCUGUAGCAUAGCUUUGUUGUGAAAAUUAAAGAACAUCAUGUAGUGCUUGGCACUAGACACUGCACAUACGGUGGUUGUUUUUGUAGAGCAAGGCUGGAAGGGCCUUCAGAGCCCAUCUAGGCUAUAUGCCCUCACUUUACGGUGAAGGAAAUGGAAACCAGGGGAGUUGUCCCAGCUCAGCUGCUCCUUGUGUGACUUUGGACAUAAGACUUCCCUUUUCUGGGCCUCAGCUUCUGUCCGCAUCUGUAAAAUGAAGGGGUCUCAGUUGGUUCUAACGUCCUGUGAUGAUACGAAUCAUGAAACCAUGCUGUGAGACCAUGGGAAGUUGGAGAGGCUGAUGGGAGAGGCAUUUUGGGGGCUUUCUAGAGCUUCUCAAAUCCCAAGAUAGAGAAGGCUGUGGACCUCUUCCUCACAGGUUAAGAUGCUUCUGAGCCCUGGGACUGACUGACAUCUAAUAUCCCAGUCGAGCCAAACUGAGAGAUUUACUCAUUUUUCCUCUUCACAGCUCACCUGCCAGGAUGAUCUAGCCUGAGGAGGGGAUAGACUCUGCAGAAGGUGGGGGAAGGGGACAGUGUGGAGGGUAGGGUGGGCUUUGAGGCAGGGUUCCAUGAGGGGAAUAAAGAUUCAUGAGACCUUUCAUGCCUCAGGGUCUCUCUGAAUAGACUAGGAUGUUUGUGCUUCUGACAGGAGGAGGAAAGGGGCCAUAGUUCCACAUCUCUAGGUGCUGGGUUUGUAUGGGAGGGAAGGCUGGGGUGCCAGGGCCUCCUGUCUGCGUUAGGAGAGGCAGAAAGCUGAUGAAGGCACAAGUUGGUUCUCUAUGGGGCUCUGGGGCUGCCUCUGGGGCUCAAGCUGGGGACUGGCAGUCAGCAACAGGGGAGUUUUGCCACUGUUUCUGAGCUCCUUGGCUUCCCUGUCCAGGAGAGUCCCUGAUUACUGAGAUCCUUGGAUGGGGGAGAUGGAGCUCCUGCCCUGGAGAGGUCUUGCCUUGAAAUAGAAGAUAGGCCAGUGAGGAAGGAAGGUGAGCAGAUGGCCAAGCUGAGAGGGACUUUAAGGAUCAUCUAGAAUCUAGAUUCCAGGCCAACCCCUCCAUUUCGUAGAUGAGGAAACUGAGGCUCAGAAGGGAGAAGUGACUAGUCCAAAAUGACAUGGCCCAUAAAUGGCAGCACUCAGACAAGAACCCAGGUGUUUGGGCUACUGUUCAGGUGCUCUUUCCACUACAAAUGGCAGUGUUUCCUCACACCUAAGCUUCACAUCACACCAGACACAGCCUGUUAGUGUCAUGGGGCAUCAUCUCCUCUAACUUCGUCACUAUGGCCUUUUCAUGCACCACAGAUUCUCGCCAAUCUUAGUCAAUGAUCCAGUGAGAUGGAGGUUGGUAAGCUUGGGAGGAGGAGUUAGACUUCGUUUAUGCUCUCAUCUUCCAUGCACCCCACUGCUCCAGACCUACUCCUGAUUCCCCAGAUGAGCCAGGUUCACUCUCUGUUCCUGCUAUUUCCCAUACAUUCACAGGUUCUCACAAACUGCACUUGCCUUACACUUGUCCAACCCCUAACUUGGAAGUUGGGGAAUAAAGCUGUGAUCUGAGGGAUGAACUGGGGAUCUUAGUGGGGUUUUCAUUCAGGUUGCUCUGGGGAAAAGUGAAACUCUACCCUUGGGUCUUUCUUUCCCGUCACUCCGUUUCAGCUACUCUUUCAGAAUGAGCGUCUUCAGUGUCUGGAAAUGAAGUACAGAGAGGUAGGUAGAAAAAGUCACAUAAAGCAGGUAGGUGAUCCAAAGACAGUUCCUGGGGUGCACAGUUUUACCACUGUCCCCUUGGUGGUCUUACCACUCCUGUGGAUUGGAGAGCUGGUGGAGUGGGAGAGGAGUUGAAGGAGUAGCCCUUAGCAUCCAGUUGGAAGGACAAAGGAAUAGAAUCUGAGCUGGAAGAGAUCUUCAUGAUCAUGUUGUUGGUGCAACCCCCUCAUUCAACCAGUGGGAAAAUAGACCCUCCUCCCCAAGGGAAUCACCUGCUUAAGGUCUCACAGCUCAGUAGUGGCAGAGUUGGAGCCAGAAACCAAGUAUCUUGACUUCCCCUCCACAGACCUUUCCACUAUAAGUUCCCUUCUGCCAGUAGGGCAGACUCUAAACUCUUCUGAUUACCACUGAAGCUCCUUGAAAUGUGACUCUGACACUGGCCUCAUCUCCCCACAGCUCUUUUCAGUGGCCUGCACCCAUGACACUGAAGUACAGGCCACUCUCCAAAUAUUCCUUGCACUUGCACAUCUCUUGCCUUUGCUCAUGCUGUUUUCUUAAACAAGAAUGCCCUUCCUCUUUUUACCUGCCUGGCAAACUCCUACUCAUCCUUCAAGACCCAACUCCAAUUCAUCUCUGCAGACCUUCUCCUGGGACUCCUCCUUCCUCACUCCCUAGCCAGUUAGUCUCUCCCUCUUGUUUUUUCCCAAAAGUGCUUUGCACGAAGGCUUAUUAGAGCACUAUACUGUACUGAAACUCUGUGUGUGUGUGUGUGUGUGUGUAUGUGUGUGUGUGUAUGUGUAUGUGUGUAACUGUGCGCUUUAAGGUAAGAGGGCAGGGUCCUGUGCCUCAUACAUUUCUUUAUUUCCCAGCCCUGAUACCUAGCAGGCAUUCAAGAAUAAAUGAAUCAAUGCCUCUUCUCUAAGAGCAUUCCCCCGCUCUGGCACACGCACAUACAUUCAUGAAAACAGUUUACAAUAUUUAAAAAGCAACCUCCAGGGCAGGGCAAAACAGAUUUCAUUUGGUCUGGGGAAGGGAUGGCUCAAAGAAAAGAAGCCAUCUCAGUCAGGUGGGGUGAGUCAGAGGAGGAAGAAUUCUAAGCCUUCUUUGGAAGCCCAGAUGCUCCCUGCACCUGGACCCCAUUCAAUCCAAAGGGCAAACAUUCUUGGCCUCAAAACACCAGCAAUGGCUUUGCAACCCUCUUCCCUGUGUACCUACCCAGGGUGUGGCCACAUACACCCACCCACUGCACACACACACACAGUCCAACUCCCCAGUCCCUCAGCCUGUGAUCUUGCCGUUCAAGUGUUCCUUUCAUGAUUCUAAUCUUGGCUGUAUGCUUGGCUCUGUGUCCUUGAGCACUGCAUUUACUUCCUCUGAACCUCAUCUAUAAGAUGGGGAUAAUGAUCCCUGCCCUGCCUACCACACAUGAGAACUAGAGGAGACAAGAGAUGGGAAUGUUUUAGAAAUUGCAAACAUACAAGAUAAUUAUCAGGCAGGCUGGUCACACUGUUUUCCUUUUCUGUCUCCACAUCUUUCCUUUCCCCCCAUAUUACCAAGAACAACCAUCUCUGUGUCUCCUUUCCCACUCCAGGUCUCCUAGCCUCAGAAGCAGCCAGGAGGUUCUUAUUAUUCUUCUUGAUUCCCAGGAACCUCACCUUCUCCAGAAGCCUUCCUGUUUCCUACCCUCUAUGAUCAUUCCCGCAGUCCCUUAUCAUUGAGGGGUACCAUUCUGUAGUCCUGUAGCUGGUGGAGAACACAUCAGAGGGGGAAUCAGGAGACCUGGGUUCCUGCCCCUACUAGGCCAACACGUCUAGCCGUGCGUUUUGGUUAAGUAACUUUAUCACUCUAAGUCUAUAUCCCUCUAGGCCUCAUUUUCCUCAUCAGUAAGAUGGAGUUUCUUGUCUUGCUUCCCUCUUAGAAGGUAUUUUGAGCACUCGCACAUUAAGUUUAUGGAUGUGCUUUGAGACGUAUAGACUGAGUGAGGGAUGGAGAAGGUGAUGGUUAUCAUCUCAAGGAGUCAAGAAAAUCUGAAAGCAGCUUCUAGGCCCCCAGCAUGGGUCUUCCUCCAUCAGGAACAGACAAAGUGGACGGAUGCAAGGAAAUAAGGAGGAGCUCACACGUUUACAACAUGCCUUUGUAGGUGAAGUGGAGAGAGCCCUGGGCUAGGACUGAGGAAACUUGGGUUCUAAUUCUGUUUGGUCUCUGUUGUAACCUUAGGUAAAUCAUCUCCCCUGGGGCAUCAGUUUCCCUAUAUGCAAAUUAGUGGAGAGGAUUUUAGGAGGGAUACUCUGGUGGGCUUUCACGCAAGAACUAAACUCAUUUAUUUUCGAGAUAAGAGACUCUGAGGUCCAAUCCCCCUUUCCCCUUCUGUCCCAUGGGGUAUGCAGGCAACAGGAGCAGGAGGCCCGUUUUACAAAUGGUGGCCCAGGAAAAGCGAGCACAAGGCGCAGAGCUGAGGGAUGACUGCCCGGGUUUACACAGCCUGUAAACUAGAACUCAAGUCUCCCGACUCCCAGCCUCGACCUAUGUUACUGGCAGCAGAAGAUGCUUUUGGGAGUCACCAGGUUUCCCGGGACUAGGUCAGACAGGGUGAAGGACACAGUGAGGUGUAGAGGGAAUGGGCAAGUCAGCUCCGCAGAGCCGGUGGCUCCAGCCAAAUGAGACUGUGCUGGGUCCUGAAAUGUCGUUUCUGCGUGUGCACUGGCUGCCAGCUGCAAGUGUUCGCUUGCACGUCUGUGGGUGUGGAGGAACUUUUCUUGUGGCCGUCUUGAGGGCUGGGAAUAACGGCGCAAGUCCCCACGGUUUCCAGACGGGGCGCGCAGAGCCCAGCUCCCUACUCCCACAUGCUGCUCCACGAUCACUGCGCUCGGGAGGAUCGGGGAGGAUCCGGGAGGACUAGCUUGGUAUUUGCAGCGCCCACCCCUCCCCCACUCCCCCUCGGUUCCACAGUCUCACGGAGAGCGCGCCGUGGCCCUUGGAAGGGAGGCGGGAAGACCCCUCAUUUCCACCCCAGGCCGCAGCUCAGCCUUCCCAGCUGGGUGGGUGCCUUACCUGCCUCUCAGCAAGGCUCCGGGGCGCCCGUUUGCUCGCUGGACACGGCGCCCUCUGACCGAGGGUGGCCCAAGCGCUGCGACCCUGUGCAUUCC
rnacentral:lncRNA from 10 species